AAUUUUUCAAAGGGCAUUUUUUACCUUCUUCUCUUCGUUAAGGAUAACUACAUUUCUCUAUUGGAAUUCAAUAAAAUGAACUUGGAAAUCGUAAAAUUGCUCCCGUUUACUAUUUCAUUAUCACAGGCAUGCAGAGUAAUCACUUUCUUCAUAUAUGAAAAAAGAAACUCUGUUGGCCAAGCAAGGCAGAAAUCGGAAACUGUCUUAUACAGAUAAAUCACCAAAGGGAUGCUCAAAUUGUAUAUUUUCAAUUCUAUAUUUUCGAUGAAAAAUAUGCUCAGGAGAAUAAAUUUGCCUCAGCUAUCGAGAUACUACCAAGAGCAUGGCAAACAACGGCAACUUGAGCCAGAUUACGCCAAAUCAAUGAGAAAGAUUGAAAGUUCAACCAAUGUGAUAAGCUUUGUUCACCCAAUUGGCAUAAAUCUCUCGCUUUACCUAAAUGCUGCUCUUCGAUAGUUUGCUGCACCUCUCGUUUCAUUUUCACGAAUCAGCGCCUCAUCUUGUGGACGAUUAUACACGACGAAGACGCGAUUGUUUGCGAGUGACAAAUGCGAAGUGACACCAAGCGUGCGUUAGAAGUGGGACUGAAGUUGAAUUGAAGUCAAUAAUUAAUUUGAGCAAUGUACUUAAUUUUUUCUAAUAUAAUAUAAACUAUCAAUAAAGUAAAGAUAUCAUAA
rnacentral:lncRNA from 1 species